rnacentral:lncRNA from 1 species
UGCCUCCGCAUGGAUGCUCAUCAGAUUCGUUUCCACUGAGCUGGGACAGGAACUCCGUGUUGGGUACAUUCUCCGUUCUGUUUCCUGAUCGCUCAACUCACCAGCCAUGGCCGAGGUUGCCUGUGCCCUGGGUGUGCCUGGGGAAAGGGCUUGGCAGUUUCUGCAUUCCGUGUGUAAUUUUUAGAAAGUCAUUUAUCAUGAUUCGUAAUUGAUUAAUGUAGAAUGCCCUUUCAAUAUGUGAAGCGAAAUUGCCAUAAAUAAUUCACUAGAUUCUCCAUUUGACUGAGUAUGUAAGUUGUUAAAGCAGAGAUUCCAGAGCAGAAUGGCACGGGCACCCCCCGUCCAAGUUCCCUGGAUGGGGGGUGUCCGUGUACGUGAGAGGGCGGUAGGACCGGCCCGCUGGAAUGUUCCAGGGAUUGUGCAAACUGCAACGACCCCCUUGGGCUGGCUUUAUGUGUCCUUCGCCGACAGACAGGCUCACGCAUCCGCUUCUUCCUUCAUUCUUCUCAGCCAGGCUUCGGAGUGGGAUUUGGUCACCCCACCUCCCUCGAAAUCAGCCUUGGGAAAGAGGAAGUUCCCCGCUGGCACGUGGCCACUGCAGCCACUGCAGCUUUCUCUUGUAAAAGUGGUGUCUGGAAGCUACCUGCAUGCGCUCAAGUCACUCAGGGCCCAUCCCUGAGGCAGCCAUUAAAAUAGCUGAUGGUGGAGACGGUUUAGAAGCAUGUAAAACGCUUAUGAUCAGUGGGGGGAAAAAGCCGCCUACAAAAGCAGGGCUGUCUAGACCACAUUCUUUCCCUGAAAACCGGAGCGCCUGUGACUAGGGGCUGGGAGGGGCUUACUCGGAGUGAAAAUGCCGGCUCUGUUGUGGGGACAGUGCUCCCGAGUCCUUCUCUGUUCCUAACUGCACACGCUGGUGCUUGAUUGAUUUUAUUUAUUCGCUUAAAGGGAAACAAAGCCCGCGGUCUGCAGUCGAGGCGGCGUGCUGCAGUUUUGGUCGGCCGCCAGCAGAUGGAGACGGCCUGCUUUCCGGGGGCGGGCAGUCACGCUCUCAGCAGAAAAGGCUUGGUUGCAGCCUGAAGGCCCUGCGGAUUCUCUGCAUUUUUAUUUGAAUAUCUAACCAUGACUGCUCCGGCAGCCGGUGAGCCCUGGAAGUUAUUUCUGAUCCUGUUAUUUGGCUUCCAGGGAGCAGAUCCAGGUUUUAUAGGGCCUGAAGCCUAUAUAAUGUGGGGGACCUUUUUGAGAAAAAUAAUUCAAAAUCCCAAAUACAAAAUCAACUGCAGAGCCUUGGAAGGGGGGGGGGGCCUGCAAAUAAGGACCAUUGCACUGAAUCUUUAUUAGCUUUGCAAUCAAUCUACCAAAGAUUGCUGCUUUUCCCUAGUCUGGCCUGAGGAGUAAGGCCACUGCCUAAGGGAGACCAUGAGCCCCCGCCCCCAUGACUGCUAGGUCACCAGGAAACUCCACAAGCGCCUUGAGAAGGAGGAUCGUGUCUUCAUUCCUAUCAGGCAUUGGUAAAAAGGUCAUGGUCUUUCUUCUUACUAAUAUGACGCUUAGUGUCUGGUAGAUACUCAGGGGCUAGAGGUUGUUUGAGAAGAAGCAGAAGCAGGGCCUAGGAGAGAGUCUGGCACUCAGACCCACUUUGAGGGGAGGGGGAGCUUGAAAAUGAUGCCUCUUUAUUCCACUGAGCUUUAUUCUGAGGGCCGACGGUGGCCAGAAGGGCUGCUCUGUGAGCUGGAGCUUUUCCUUCCUCCCCGUCAGCUACCUGGUCCAACUCACAUCUGGGUCCCAGAAGGUCUGGAUUAUGCACUCUUAUUUAGGGGUAGUUUCACAGCUGGACGACUCCUUCAGCAUGAAAUAGGCAAAGAAAGCAGUUGUUCUAAAUUCUCCUAUAGGCAAAUAGUUAAACUUGCGAUUGACCUUGAUUGCCCUGUCUCAUUUCCUUCCCGUAUUUUAUAUACAACCAGAUCCAAAUCUUCCGUAAUACAAGGAUUCCAGUGGUGAGCUACUUCGUUCUUCGUUUUCUGUCCAUAGCAAUGCUCAAACCCUUGUUAUGGCCAUGAUGCCUCCUUCUAGCAUCAUAUCACUGCUUAUUCUGGUCUAGGAUGAGUCAGGUAGCAUUGGUGUCUGGUCCUUAUAAUGCUUUCCGAAGGAUAACUACAUACUGAAUAGGCUUCCCUAUUAUCUUGCCUUUCUUACGGUACUAUUUUCAUUAGGUGAGGCUGCAAUAAUAAAUAAAACCACACAUCUAGUGGCUGAACACAGUAGAAGUUUAUUUCUUGCUCAUGUGACAAUCUAGGAUGGUCCCAGACUGGCAGGGAGCUCUGUUCCACAUAGUCAUUCAGGGGUCCAGGCGGAAGGAGGCUCUACCUUCUUGAGCAUAUGGUUUUCAGUGUCACCAGGGUUAUUGCCAACUUAAUCACACAAAAGGAGGAAGUGCAUGUUGAGGGGGUUUAAUAGGCAAAGCUUACAGUUGGAAUGUCUUGCUUCUGCUUAAAUUUCAUGGGCUAAAUCUCAAUCACAUGACCACAUAUAAUCGAAAGAGAGGCUGGGAAAUGUAGUCUUCUUGUGUAGUUAAGAAGAAGAGGGAAUAGAUUGUGGUGAACAGGCCACACCAGAUACAGCACAUCUGAUAUGAGGUGAGCAACCUAGGUUCCUUCCAGACAUUAAGAUAUUGGAGUGAAAAAUGUCUUUGCCUCGCUCUGAAGCCAAAUUGGAAAACAAACGAGAAACAGAGAUUAAAAACUCUAUGUUUAUUGGAAUGGAAACGCCUAUCAUCAUGAACCAUAAAAACAAGAUGGGAUGUCACGUGCAGUGAACGCUGAAGUGAUGGGGAGGCCAAUAGAGAAUAAAUGCCUUUCUAGACCUUGGAGAGAGUUGACAGAGCACAGAACUCUCCAGAGUAGGUCAUAUACUCUGAGAGCAAAUCCAAUAGUCCUCGACUUUGAACAAUAAGAUCUGGGUGCAUGUUUGGCUGCAGGAGCCUCCUGAACCCUCUCGGAUACGUUAAAGUGGCAGGGAAGGUAGGGAUGAGUGAGAACACUCACAGAUAUUCUCCAUCUGUAAAUGCAGCAUGGGGAGGAAAGCUUGUGGGUAUUAAGCCCCUCCAUGGCAGCCAUCUUUUUGUGUGAGCUAACGUUUAAGCCUGGUCUCCCACAGAACGCAUUCACCAACUGCCCACCCGCAAUCUUCCUCCACAAGACCAUGAGUCAUAAUAAGGGACUUUACUGGGAAUCAGAGGAUCUUCUGCUCACCUGGAGCAUUGGCCUGGCCCUCCCCCACACUAUUCCUUUCAGCUGUCUGGUGUGGGGAGAUUUCGGCUCACUCAAGGGUGACUGAUAAUGAAAAAGGAACCAGGAGACCUGUACAAAAAUACCACAAAAUGGUGGAAAAUAACAAGACAAAAAUGUGAACGAAGCCUACACAAUAUGAGCAUUUUGAUGUGGAGCUGAUGAAAAACAUGAGUUAAUAUUUGUCUACAAAUUCAAAGAACUUAACAAAAAGUCCUUGGUGAAUUAAAAGCUCAAUGCAGAGGCAUAAGGAAUCAAGAAAGGCAGCAGCAGGAGAUUAAUAUCGAGCUGGCUGUGUCUAGGGUACAAAGUGGAAAAGAAAACUAAGAUCAUCACAGAAAUUAUGGCUGCCUCGCAAAUAGUAGUAACUGAUGACCUAGUAUCAUCAUACUGUUAGCGAAUGUAGUAAUAAACACUGCUGACAGCAGGAAUGUAUAUUGGAAGCCUGAAGACAAUUGAACAAAAUGCAAUGGAAGAUUUAAAAAGUGAUUAGAGAAAAAUUAUAGUUGUGGAAGACAGAGGUGAGGCAACUUAAACAUAAAUGUUUUCUUCUUGAAGAAAAAAAUGAAAAAAAUUAGAAAAUAUUCAAAGAUGUAAUUUUUAUUUUUAUUUACCUUUAUUUUUUCAAAGAUUUAAUUUUUACAUCUUUCCUGAUAUUAAAUAAGAUUUGAGUCUAAAGAGUGACAGGACACAGUAUGUCUUAUUUAAGGAAAAAAAAUUAGCAGAGAACCAUAGUUUAAUAAAAUUUCCAGAAUUAAAAGAUAUCAGAAAAAAACCCUGUGGGGACCCCAAUAAAAUUGGUCAAUUGUUUAUUAAACAAUAAAAUCAAACACCAAGUUGGCUUAAGACUUAUUCCUAUUGAACAUUAGAAGACAGUGAAGGAAUGCUGACCAAGUCUUCAGAACAAGACAGUAUGACCCAGUAACUUUUACCUGGUUAAGUUGCCUUUUAAUUAUACUGGGAACAGACAAAUAUUUCCAAAUAUGCAAGAACUCAGGGAGCAUAGCUCUUAUGAACGCUUUUUGGAAGAAGCUACUAGAAGAUGAAGUUG